UAGGGAAUCUUCCGCAAUGGACGAAAGUCUGACGGAGCAACGCCGCGUGAGUGAAGAAGGAUUUCGGUUCGUAAAACUCUGUUGUUAGGGAAGAAAAAAUGUAUAGUAACUAUAUACAAAAGAGACGGUACCUAACCAGAAAGCCACGGCUAACUACGUGCCAGCAGCCGCGGUAAUACGUAGGUGGCAAGCGUUGUCCGGAAUUAUUGGGCGUAAAGCGCGCGCAGGUGGUUUAGCAAGUCUGAUGUGAAAGCCCACGGCUCAACCGUGGAGGGUCAUUGGAAACUAAUAAACUUGAUGGCAGGAGAGAAAAGUGGAAUUCCUAGGGUAGCGGUGAAAUGCGUAGAGAUUAGGAGGAACCCCGGUGGCGAAAGCGGCUUUUUGGCCUGCAACUGACACUGAGGCGCGAAAGCGUGGGGAGCAAACAGG
rnacentral:rRNA from 1 species